rnacentral:rRNA from 1 species
CGCGGUAAUACGGAGGGUGCGAGCGUUAAUCGGAAUUACUGGGCGUAAAGCGCACGUAGGCGGUUUGUUAAGCAAGAUGUGAAAGCCCAGGGCUCAACCUUGGAAUAGCAUUUUGAACUGGCAAGCUAGAGUUUUGAAGAGGGUGGUAGAAUUUCCAGUGUAGCGGUGAAAUGCGUAGAUAUUGGAAGGAAUACCAGUGGCGAAGGCGGCCACCUGGUCAAAAACUGACGCUGAGGAGCGAAAGCGUGGGGAGCAAACAGGAUUAGAUACCCUGGUAGUCCACGCCGUAAACGAUGUCAACUAGUUGUUCGUGUCUUUAAGACGUGAGUAACGCAGCUAACGCACUAAGUUGACCGCCUGGGGAGUACGGCCGCAAGGUUAAAACUCAAAUGAAUUGACGGGGGCCCGCACAAGCGGUGGAGCAUGUGGUUUAAUUCGAUGCAACGCGAAGAACCUUACCAUCCCUUGACAUCCAGAGAAUUUUCUAGAGAUAGAUUAGUGCCUUCGGGAACUCUGAGACAGGUGCUGCAUGGCUGUCGUCAGCUCGUGUUGUGAGAUGUUGGGUUAA